ensembl:lncRNA
CCCCCCAAACCAUCCCCGUCCCACCCAAUCUCCUCUCGUCACUCUUCAUUAAGGAAGCGGGUGCGCAUUUUCUCAGUUCCCAAUUCUUUCAGCGCUACAACACACUCUUUCCCUGUCCGAUUAAGCACACUAACAAGCUUAGCAGGUCUGUGAAAGCCAGAUUUACCGCCGUUCCUCAAGGCUGGUAAUUAUUGGCAGAGCACACUGUAACAACUCUGGUUAUAAAAGCGCUUACUGCCCUGUCACGGUCCACCUCCCUGCUGACCUCCCCACCGCCAUCUCUCCUUCACACCCUCUCUCUCUGUUUCUGGCCUUUUCUCUUGAUCUCCUGCUCCUUCUCCUCCAGUUUAACUCCAGGAUUCUCAGCAGCGCCAAAGAGUUCCAGAGAGAGAGAGAGAGAGAGAGAGAGAGAGUGAGAGAGAGAGCCCUCUCUUCAUCGAGGGGGGAAAACGCUGAGAAUAAGUCAGAGUGAGACAGGAGGCCAUUGUAGGGGGCUGGCCUGGGGACAAGUCAGCCAUUCAGAUGCGGCCAGCCGUGUACAAUGGCUAAACUAACAUCGUUGACAUUUGGAGUUGCCUAAGCUUUAGAGUGAGGGGAAAAGGGAGGAGUGGAGAGGUUGCCAUCGGGAGCGAGGAGACGGGUGAGCGGAGCAGUGUUGGAAAAGGCCCUUCAGAGGCACCGGCCAUUGAUCAAAAAUUCAUGUCAGCGGUUGGGAUCAGACCAGCGUGCCCUCUUAAAGCUUUCAUCUGCUGGAGAAAUGGGGGGGCAGGGGGAGGGGGUCAGAGGAACGAUAUGGAGGAGGGGAGGACAUUUGAGAUAGGCACCUUUUCAAAACCCUGUCCCUAUGGACCGGGCUGGGCCUACAACACAAGGCCACCCAACUGUGUGAUAGAGAACAGGCCACUGCUUGAUCAAAGCACUCAGAUAGCACUGCUUGUUACACACUAUUGCUUACCAUUAGGGUCACAGGGCUUUGAUUAAUGAUAAAGUGGGCAGCCAAGUGGCCUUUAUGGCAGCUACUAAUGAGUCAUUCAACUGCUCUUGACUGAUAUGGAUAUGGCCUUGUAUCAGUGACAGUGGUGCGCCAGAAGGACAUUUUCUGCUGUUAAAAUUCCUGAGAAAAGAUUUGGUUGCACUGAUUGGACCCUUUGUCUGGAGAGACAGUUAAUAGCAGUUCCUUCAAAACCUUUUGAUACGUCUCUUUUUUUUAAGCUAGAUAAUCAUGGAUAUUUAUAUAUAUUUAAAUGUCUUGGGCAUUAACGAUCAAAGGCUUUGCACGGUCCCAUUGCCAAGCUGAAAUGUUGACGUUGUGCUCUUGAGCAAAGAAAUAUUUUUUGGGUAUUUCUUCUAUACAGACAUUUUGGGUCCCGUGAAACCAGGCGUAGAGUUUACGUUUACACUUGUGUAAAACAUUGUUACGCUUGUUAUGCAACGUUAAGGAAGCACAUUUGCUAAGGGCUGUUCUUAUAUAUUUAUCAUACAAGAUAAGUAUGCAUAGCUCUCACCAAUGUUACCCAGAGAUUAAUUGGAAUAACUUAAAGAUUGACAGAUAUUUUAAGUUUGACAUUUCAAUCUUUUCGGAAUUUAGGUUCCUCAAAAUAAUUUCAAACACUUUGUUGUGUUCUGUGGUUCCAUGGCAGUUUCAGUUAUAGUUGUUGCUCAACUAUUUGUAAAAUACUAAACUUAUUAUGAUUAACAUACUAGACAUCCUUCUAUAAGUUAUUCCUCAAGCAUGUUUUUGGGAAGGAUCACCUGCUAGCGGCAGGCGAUGGACGCUCGAUGAAUGUACUGUGCAGUGAAAGAAUGUUGACUGGUUGGUUGGAGGGUUUGACUUUAGGAUCCAAAUUUUAAUCAGAGCUUCCACGGAGCCAAGAAUUUGAUGUGGUUUUACCACCUUUUUAACCCACAGUUAUCUGGUCAAACAACUAGCAUGGGGGCUGCUGUGGUCGAAGUCUUGCAGCUGGCAACAGCUCCCUCUCUCCCUCUCUGGAGGGUACAGUAAAUGGUUCUCCAUCAAAACGCCACAUCAACACGCGACUGCCUGAUGACGUCCACAGGCUGAGGGGGAAGCGCGUGAAGGCACCCACUUUGUUUAAAGAAGCCUGUGCAUGCGGCUACAGGGGUAAACAGGGCCGGACCACCUACCCUGGGCUGCCGUCCUUGCCAGCCUAGAGACAGAGCGGCGCGGGCGUGGUUUGAAGAACAUGUAACCCCUCUUGGGCCGGGUUGUGGUACGUAGUGAUGGUCCUGACUAAUCUGCCAGCGUAUUAGGGCCCUUGAGGACAACGCCCCCCUCUCUUCACUCAUGCCUGUGAUUCAGCAGGAGGAACUCAGUCACUUGAAUGCAACAACAGCUGCUAAAAGCAACAAACUGUGAACCUGAUAUAUACUCUGAAGGACUGACCCCUGCUCGUGAAUCAGCCCCUGGACAGGAGGUACUUCAGCAUGGAACAGAGGGAACCUUGCAAUGCCCCAUAGAUCCCUGUGCCUAAACACCAGGGUAUUUUUGGGUCACACGAUGCAUCAAAAGGUCUCCAAAUGUCUCUUUGGCACAGAGGGGAUCUCUUCAGGUUGAUUUAAAGCAGAUGAUGUUUUGUGGCGGUUUUUGGCUCUGAAAUUAUAUUUUUCUAUGCUGUCGGGUUUAUUUUGAAUCCAGUCAUGGACUGUGUCUCGGCAUGUGUUCAAAGAUGUAGCCCAACAGCACUUCCCAGACUGAUACUUUUCAAAGGAUUAAGUUGUUGAUGUGCUGCCAUAGCUGUGAGUGUGUUUGGACAAGAAGUGAGGCGUCCAUCCAUGUAACAUUCGCGGGGAUGAAGACAUACGCAUGCUGUGUGUACUGACAUUAACACAUGCUGCAACCCACAUGCCGGGGGCAAGCGGUUCCUUCGUCAUGCAUUCCAAGGGUCCAUCGCUUUCUGACAGCUGUGGGGGCCCGUUAAUACCCCAAUCGCCAAUGUCAUUAUGACUCUCUUAAGAUCUGAAGCACACGCAGCUCCUGCUGGACAAAGUCGGGCCUUUCUACGCAGCCCUGGAGAUCCUGGAACAGACAGUAGAUUUAUUCGGGCAGGUGUUCAGCUCACCUUCUGGGUCCCGGGAUGUUGAGGGCACAGAGAGCGGCGUUCCCCUUGGAAAACAGAUAAGGUAGCGUUACAAUUGACACUCGCACUGUAUACAAUCAAUAAUCAUAACAUGUCACUGUGCCCCCCCCCCCCACCUGAGCAAAGGCCACUUAACCCAACCGAAUUCUACAUACAGAGAUUUGUACCGUUAAAUGUUUUUUAGUUUCGCAGAUGUUAUCAAGUGUUUUCAAUCUGUUUGUGUGCCGUGAUUUUAAUGUGCAUUUUCAAUCCCUGUCCGUUAAAAUCAACGGACGACCUCAGUGCGUUGGCAUUGGCAAUUAAAAAAACAUUUUGAUAAGCAACAUAGAGAUUUUCUCCUGCGAUUUCACACAUGACUGAGGGUUAAAUCUUCCACAAAAGGCAGACAAUGUGUGCCACUCUCUGCACAGCUACACGUUUUGCUUCACUGGUGGCAGGUCUAAACUAGCAACAUGAUGUUAUUAACAAAAAGGAAAUUAAAUAACCAAGAAACAAUUUGUGAAAACAAUAUGCUCCAUUGCAUUCUCCAAAUAUAGUGUAUAUUAUUUUAGACAGGAAAUACACACCCGAUCAUUGUAGUUCCUUUAAGCACAGCUCACCUUUGACAGCGAACUUUGCUGACAUCUCUGGUAAAAUCAACGGCCCUGACUGAAAACAGCACGCCCGUUUCUGUUUUUCAUCGGCACAUGAAACAUCACUCUGAACAGAUCAGAGAAACAGGCCUGAAGCAGUAAGAGGGAUCAGACAUAUCUCUCUACCUAUCCUCCCCUCUUGUCUCCGUUCAUGCAGACUGUCCGUCCUCAACUGCUAUGGCCCUGCCGGGGCUGUUCCCAAGAACAUAAUUCAAUUGUCUUUGGAUCCACAGGCGAUGAAUAACCUCUGAAUAGUAAAUCAGUGCCGUGGCGUCUCAUCGCUGGACUAGAGCAAGGCUACGACGGGUCCACAGGGGCUAAGAUGGAGAGAGACGAAGCAGGCUCCUUUCCAUCCCGUGCUGGUGCAAAUCAAAAGAAAGAGCCCCUCCAAAAGGCUAAGCAUGUGCUCAAGUCAUUUGAGGCCCUGUCAAGGAAUUGCAUCCUUGAUUCCCAUCCAUAUAUUGACAGACGAGACAAAUCAAAAGUGUCUUUCUGUCUCAAGCACAGCUUCUCUCGGCACUGGUCACUGGUUGCCAAAAGUGUGAUGAAACACAGCCGAGCAGCGUGCUGAUGGAUGAGCCUGUCAAAAUUCGGUAUCUUUUUUUUUCACAUUAGGACACAUGACAGUGUAAGGCGUCAGCGAGAGGGUAACACACACGCAUCUGAUAAAAAGGAAAUAGAUACAACACAAGACAAUGAAGCCAGCACUCACUUCAUUUAUAAUACAAAACUACAGAGCACAUAUAGAGCAUAUAUAGAGCACAAAUAGAGCACAUGCAGGAAACAAAAGAUUUCUUGGCCACCUUAAGUAUACGUGAGCAUGUUUGGACCAAUAGCUUAAUCUAUAUGUAAAUAAGCGUGUUUGCGUGUUUGUGUAAUGAAGGAGUUGUCUUCCACCAGCAGCUGUUGGUGUUUUGUCAAAAUAAGUUGGUGGGAAUUUUAAUGAGCUGUACAAGGCCCCAGCUGGGUUACAGGUGGGAAGAAGGCACAGGGGGGAUUGGGGUUGAAGUAAGAUCGAAACCCCCAGACCCGUCGAGGACGAAGCCUCGGCCUCGGCCCAAAAAAUUAAUCACAGCAUGGUGAGUUUUGGAUGAACAAUUAACCAAAUGCUUAUGUUCCUCAUCAUACAGGCUCAGUGUAACUGAUGGGAAUACUGUUCUGGCUACACUCAAAGGCUGCAGACCUUCUUUUUCUUUUUUAAAUAUUUUCGAUUGCUAGCAUGGGUCAAUCCACUGACCAGAAUUAACAUACGCUCAGACAAAUAAUGUUGUUUUUUUUUCAAGCUUGUUUUUAAAAGUACAUGAGGCAACAGAAAAACUUAUAAAAGAAAAGCAAGCCUUACAGAGUGGCAAUUACCUCAGCUCUUGGCAUGGGCUCUAAUUAAAACCAAGCUUGUUUCCUUCAGUGAACAAACAUGACAGGCGCUGAGCAGAGGAGCUUUUUUUCCUCCCCUGCCAAAAUAUUAAGUGAGUGCAGGUGCUCAAGGAAUGUCUACAAAGGAGGGAGCAAGGCAAAGCUGACCCGUUACUCUCUCUCUCUCUCUCCAUUGUGCAUGAGUCUCCAUAUGUGUGUUUACUAUGUAUUUGUGUAUGUUUUUUUCUCCAAACCCUGACUGUUUUCAGGCGUGCUUUGGUUGCACAGCAGAAGAGCACACCCAGUUUUUCCCAGCGCCCUUUCCGCAGCUUUGCUGUGGUAGAAAACUGAAGCAAAAGCAAAUGAUUGUUUUGUUAUUGGGUAGCGGCUGGGGGCUGCCUUAAGCAGGACCAGAUGCAAGGGUCCCGGCAGCUCCUGGGCCUGAUUUAGGGAGACUCCGUAGCCCCGGUGGAGACUCUGACACAAUUCACAGAGACUUGGCAGGAGGGUCAAUUUCCUCUCUGCACCCCUUACACCACAAUGAACACAACAGCACCUGAUCACUGUCCUAUAAAAUGUCUCUCUGGGAAACAUAUACAUCAGAGAAGACCACAAAUGGAUAUAUCAGUAACACCUACAUACGUUUUGUGAUAUCCAAGUAGAGGAAGAAUCUCGUAAUUUUGCUUACCUCACCGCUUCAAGCCAUUAAAGCGUUGAGUCGGCUACAUAAUUGCACCCCAAGAGAUCUUGCUGUCCGACAUGAUUGGAUUCAGGACUUUCUGCCUGACAGACACACUCUCUAAUCACCACUGCACCCCACUUCCCUAAUGAUGCUUCAUAAUUCAUUGCUAAUAUCCGUUCAAGGCAAUAACUCAUGCUCAUUAGAGAAUUUGCACAUUUGAACAGUUCCGUCCUGGAGGUUUGCACUCGCUGUAGCAUAUCUUGCAGCUGUCAGGGGUGGAUGGGAUGCAGGUUAGAGGAAACACAGGCCUGCAGGUGGGGUUUGAUAUUUUGGCAACUUCCUGUAAGUCAGACAUGCUUCACUAAGAGGGCGAUGGGUAGAAAGGGACACCUGGUCCAGAUUGACACCUUGGGGCCACGUAACCAGGUGAGCUGCCUCAGGACAUCUGCCUAAAAUGAAGCUUUGGUGCAGGACGUAACUGGAGAUUUUGAGCUGUUUGAGUGAGUGGACAAAGAUUUUUUGAAGAAGCUCUAAAGAUGAUAAUUUCCUGCUGUCAUUGCUGUGUUAUCAGCUGUUCUUAGGUCACAUCCGUGAGCAAUUAUUUGGACAUCCGUCCAACAGCAAAGCGCACGUCUACAUUGUGAGCCUGUCUUCUCGCUUCUCCUUUUAAAUUAGAUUCUCCGUUAUUCUUGCUUUAGUGCGUCUAUGCUGCUGUUACACCUCUACAUCACCGCCCCGGCCUUUGCAGGUUCAUCGUGUCAUCAUUUCAUCAGGAAGAUCAUCAGCCACCACUAGAGGGUUCAUGGACGACACCUUGUGAUAAAACAUCUCCCAGAAAAACUCAUUCCCAAAUGGUAACACUGGGAAAUGAGGAUCGCAUUGAGGGCCAUGGACAUACAGGACAUACAUACUGACAUGCUUUUUUAAAUUUUAAAUUAGGUUGAUUAAGGUUGCGUUUGUUAUGCUCAGCCUCCAAGAUGCACCCCCCUCGUCCUCCCUCAAGAAAGUCUUGAUAGUUUAAGUAUCUAUAUAGCGCCAGAUCCCAACAGAAGUCAUUUAAGGUUACCUUUCCUAUAAAAUAAGUCUUUACCCUUUUCUUUUAUUGAACAGACUAAAAAUGUCUACAUGGUCUCGCGCUUACAACGAUGUGUGUACACACACACACACACAAACACAUCCGCCCGCACACGGGAGAGCACACUCCCACCGGCCGACAGAGAGCGUGCGCAUUGGAAAAACUGCCCGUCCAUGCAUUAAACUUUGCUUCUUCAUGGCAAAUUCUUCAUUCUGCUUUACUAUGUUUGUGAUGCUGCUGAGGAGGCCUGCGAGGGGAAAGUCAGUAAACAUGAUGUCAUAUCUUGGAUUGAUUUGGUUUUACUGAUCACACCUUUCUUCAUCACAAAGAGAAAUCUGUGAAUUGAAAUUGACCGUCCCUUCAGGACGUGUCUGCUCUGCCCUCUCUGGCUGUGGUUAAAUGCUGGCACUCCUGGUCACGUCUGCCUCUCACAUUCCUGCUGAGUCCCACCUCACAGGGCCAGGCCUCCUGGCACGGCACUGACGGGGAAUUUUCCACAGGUCGACAGUGGGCUACACACAGGACUACCUUUGUCUGUGCCCGCGCGCUGCCCACUUCUCUGCAGACCAGCUCUCUCACUGGCGCACACACGGCAUCUGCCAUCACAAGGACUCACAAAUAUAUUCAUAUAAACAGAGACAUUAAGUGAGGUCCAGAUGUAGGUACUGUAGCUUGGUAUUGAAUCCAUGAAACACACAGCUUAGUCAUAAAUGUGCUUUCAUUAGACUGCACCUUGGCAUCUUUUAAAUGGUAAAAAUGCUGAUCUCUUUAUAAUCACGAAAGACAAUGCACAAUGUGAAAAGCAUAAAAUAAAUGAGGGUUACACGAUGUGGUCGUAGUGUGACAUCAUAGUUGGCUGUACAGAUAAGAAUCUUCUUUCUGUCCACAUAAAGUUUGUAAAUCAUUACCAGGUGCAGCAGGUCUGGUCUGAACAUACAGGUACAAGAAGAUAAACCUGAUUUAGUAGUUAGCAAAGAGAGAUAUAUUCCUCUCUCGAGCACUAAGUUCUGAUUUUGGCAAGGAUGUGUCACUCACACAAACAAACAGCCCAUAUAUCUGGCACCAUGUUACACACACACGCGCAUAUUGAAAAUACUGCCACAUUAAAUAAAAUGUACUUCUGUACUAAUACACUUCACCUGGUGUGUUUGAUUGAGAGCUGUUCAUAGAAAUGGGUCAGUACUUAUUUGUGAUAAAUCACGUCAUUUCAAAAUAUCCUGGCUUCAAAUGUCUGUUGUGUUGGUCUUACUCCCUGAUUUGAGUGUGUAUCAGGUGCUUGUUUUAAGAGAUACGAGGUAAUUGUGCAUAAAAAUCUCAUUUUGGUCAACAGACGUUGCUGAAAGUAAAAAUUCAUCAGUGAACAAUAAUCCAGCAACAAACAUGUUAGUAUUUAGCAUUUUAGUCAGACCCAGCGUGCCUCCACUGUACAGCUCAUGAACACCUUUUAAAACUAUCCAGAGGUACAAUAAUGCUCUUUGCCAGCACCACCAUAUGGGAUUUGAUUGUGUCUCCUCCCUGGAGCUCAGCCGUCCCGCGGCUCCACACACACACCUGCUUCCCUUGUGCAGACAACAUAAUGCUGACGGAAAAAUAAAGCAUUAUGGUGUGUUUGAACAUCUUAUAAUUGGCAAAAAAAAUGUAAUUACAUUUUAAAUCAAUAUAAUAUAAUUGGUGGACUUUCCUGUAUCUGUCUGCAGCCCUCGUAAAACAAAUUGAUGACCUUCAUACUUGGUAGUAAAAAUAUAUUGCAAAAUGUGUUUAUGAAGUGUGUAAUGCAAAGUUGUGCAACAAAUGUACCUUACUGACAAUAUGUCUUAACUUUUUAAAGCAUGUAACUAAUUAAAGUUCUAAAUAUUUUGAAAUGAUAACAAUGUGCAGUGUGCGCUGAAACCCGGCACACCGGGUUAAAAUUGGUUGUCAGUGCUUAGUACAAUUUGACCUGAUGAGAGGGGCUCAGGGAUUAUUCCCAUGUAAAGACGGAAGCUUUACCCCCACUCCCCAUUUGUCACCCGCCGGGCCGCACUGAGGCCCCCUGGUGGUGGGGUAAUUAAAGUACCAUAGCCCGGCCAAGCUGCAGUAAUGCUCCCAAAUCCACAGAGAAUGACCGGAGCCGUGGGUGCUCCUAAUCCUGUUUGCGUCCAUCGGGACCAACUCCAGUCCCAGCCGGAAGAUGGGGAGGUCGAGGACAGGGGACAAUACCCCGGCGGGAGGCAGAGGGAACGAGGGAGGGUGGGAAGUUGUGUGAAGGACAGCGAACCUGUAUUCACCCUCACUCCAUGUCUCCCUCGGUUUCACUGCUUUUGUUGGUGAAAAAAAAUCUGCAGAACCUCCCUCUUGCCCCAUUGUGGUUGCAUAUCUGACAGGCUCAACAUCCAUUUGCUUUAUUCACUGGGUUAAUAGAAGAGGAAGAGAGAGCAUGGCAGUAAACUCUGCAAGUGAACUAGCCAAGUGAGGUUAAUCUUCAUUUGGACUCAAGUCCCGCAAGUGUUUCAUAAGUCUCAGGUCAUAAAAAUCUAAUUUGUAAAAAUCAUUCGCCCUCUUUUAGUGAGCAGAGAUUUACCUCUGAGAAUAACCUUGCACAAGUUCAUGGAUUGAGGUAAUGGAUAUUGUGGUUUGAAUACCACCAUCUGACCUACACUAGAUUAUCCCCUUACCAUUUGCUUUCAAAGCACAAUUUGUGUAGCCUUGCAUGCCCUGCCCUUUACUCAUUACUCAAACUCAUGAAAUGCUCUCCCACUGGCUCCCCUGCUCAUAUGGACAAUAAUCCCCUGCCAUGAGAAGACGGAGUAAUGGAGAUAAAAGGGCCAAGUGGUAAUCCAGGCCUCAGGUUUGUCCCUCUCAUCUGUCCUCUCUUCAAAAGGUUCGAACAGCCCAGCACCAUCCCAAAAAUCCAAUUCUUAGUUAACAAACCCAGCAGGAGACAACAGAACGGACUCUGUGCACAGCAACAUGCUCAAAUUAACACACAAACUGUGAUCUGCACCUGUGUGCAAACACUGUCUGCAGUAUGCCUACUCGUUUCUGACAAGGCUGCUGAAAGAUUUAGCAAAUAUCCAACUACGCACCGGCAUGAGGUCUUUGCACGUUGUUCCAUGAUGUGAUCUCCCCAAUGCGCAGACACAACACUCUGUCUCACCGCGACACCCUAUUACAGCAUGUGACACAACACGUCACUGCUAAGGAACCUGCCCUCUAACUGACUGCACUACAGUAUCCAGCAGAAGGUUGGUGAGAGUAAACAUUAACUCUGGUACACAUUCUAGAAUUUGAUUGAUUUCGUAUUGAGACAACAUCCGAUUUGGGAUUGCAAGCUUGGGAACAAUCCAUUAAUCCAAUGAAAAUCCUACAACAUGAGUUGUUAGCAUUCUACUGCACUGCCACAACGUCUCCCAUGGACACUAAACCAUGCACGUUUUGCAGAGGUAGCUCUGAGAAAGAAUGCCGCUUAGAUAUUUUAUAUGUUCAUGCUGUUGUUUCAUUAUAUUUGAUGAUACCUCACAACUUUGAAAGUUUGUUUGCUGGCUACAUUGUUUAACUUUUUUUGUGCACUGGACCAGAGCCGCAGGAACGAAAAGGCUCAGCCGUGUCAGAUCAACGAAAGCGCUCUGACCCUUCAUUCCUAAUUCCAGCCUCUACGCUCUGGUUCCUCUGGUCAGAACAAAACAUCACAAGCAUCAUUUAUUCCAACACCCCUCUGCAAUAAUGGGGCAACCCAGUGCAAUUUGGAAUAACCAUAACUGUCUUAACCACUUAAUCCCUGAACCAUAAACCAUAAACCUUUUAUGCAGAAAACAAUAAUUCACUUCUAGGGCAAACAAACCCAAACCUUGAGAUUUUUAUUUUUCUUGAUGGAGAGUUAACUUGGCCAGCAUCUGCACUGUUUUUCAGGUCCAAGUAAUCCUGCAGUCUGUGUCCAACAGGGUGGGGGAGGAGGGCGGAGUGGCGAGCUGCUGUAAGAGAUGGCCGGUUGGCAGUUGGCUUCAGGCUGGUAUUCACUGCAGCUGGCCAGAGUAAACGGUGCCUGGCAGCCCAUCUCCACACCCUCCCUAGACACCCCGCUUUCUCCUUGUGUCACAUUUUGCUGACACUCCAAACAUUAAUGGAAAACAUGUGCUCACAUGAGGAGUCAAAGGGGAGAGAAGUGUACACAGGGCUUUAUUGUUCCCACACCGAGGGAUACAUAAUGCUCGCCGCCUUUUAUUCAGACUCAAAUCCAAACUGACGCGUCCAUGUUCGUCUGAAGUUCCGGAGUAAUUGUCACAUAACUAUUCCAGCUUGUUGCGUUACGUCUAAGAACACAAAAAGGCUUUGUGCGAGGGGCCACAAUCGGCCCACUUCUUCAGGAUAUCCCAGCGCUUCAUGUUUGACUGCAAAAUGAAAGUAGAACGUUUAUAAGAAAUAAGAGAGGAAAUGCAUUGAAUAUUAAAUAUGUCAAAUGUAUUCAAACUGUUUUGUUUGUACUCAAAAAGAUUUGCACACCUGACGUACCACCCUGUAAUGUAUUUUUUUAUUUUUGACCAAAAAAACAUAUUUGAGCAGGAUAUUAAAGGAGAACUUUAUUCCCAUGAUGAAGCUCAGCCUUUCAACCUCUUCAAAGCACAACGAUUUACGUUAGUGAGGAUCUCUCUCUCUCUCUCUCUCUCUCUCUCUCUGCAGCAAAAACCAUACAUUCCAGAAGAAAUCUCAGAAUCAACAGGCAUGAAAUUCAUUUCUCACAUGGCCGCAUCUGGGCCUCCUAAUCAUAACCUGUUCUGACAAUUCAAUCCAGCACUCCAUCGCCUUCUCCCUCCUCCCCGACUGACUCACCCCAUCUGUCUCACCAAAAACUCCCUCUCCUCCCGCCGCCUCCUUCCGCCUCUCUAAUUGCAUUGCUCCAGCCCCCCACCUCAUUAGUCCCAACAGAAAAAAGCAAUUAACAACGCCAACUGUAAUUACAGUAAUGGCCGUAAGGUAUCUAGUGACCUUGUUCCUUGCCACGACUUCGUCUAGCAAACCUCCGUCCAGCGCACCCACCUUCGUGCCUGUGUGCUGUGGGGGAGCAUGGUGUAGGGAGGCUGGAGUACCAGAGGGAGGGUCAGGGUGUCUGGACUGACUGACUAAUGUCUGCUCAAAGCUGGUGGUUAGUCUGUGAGCGGCCCAAUUUGCCCCCAAAGCAUGAUGCAGAUGCUUUCAAAAGAAAUUCAGGUACAAUAUAAGUAUAAGUUAGUCAGUCAGUCAGUCAGUGAUCUUCAAAGGCGCUUAUUCUUCAUACAGCGUCGCUGGAGUCAAUCCCAGCCAACGUGGGGCGAGAGACGAGGUUCACCCUGGGUUGGUCAAGGUGCGUCCAAUUUUACAAAAUACAACUUUGUGCACGAAAACGAUGGCAAGUAGGAUUAACCAAAAUACAAGUUUCCAAUCUUUAACACUUAAUCUUCAAACCAAAUAGACUAUACUGAGUCCUCGUUGUCGCCGGCUGAAUCACUGGCUCCGGGCAGUAGAUCUCCACUCAGUGGGAACCUGACAGCGCAACUGUGAAACACUAUGUUUACACCUCAAGCUUAUUAAAUGAAUGGGAAAAACCACUGAAACAAGCAAAACCAGAUUACUGUCGCAAAUAUUUGAGCUAUUAAGCUCAUACACUCUGCUUAUAUAGGCCUAGAUUUGUACUGAACCGAACUUGAACCAGCAAAGUGCCGCCACUUUGUUUUGAAAUGAGGCAAGCAUACUGCGCAGUCAAUCUUCUAACUGAAAGAAAUGCAUUUAAGACGCAGUGUGAUUGGUAAUUUAUGUUUAUAUUUGUACUACGACUUGCACCUCGACAUGAAUACAUGUCGCGUGGUGCCGUGUGAGGUUGCUCCUGCAAAGUCAAAGUCAUGCUGUACAAGAACGCACACUACAAAGCCUGAUGAAAGGCUGCACGCGUCUGCUGGUGUGUCUGUACAGUUGGUGUUUGGUAGCGUGCGUCACUGUAGGCCAGGUUUAGGGUGCUCUGGCAGUUCUGUGCUCCAGGCCCCUGAGUCCCUGGAUUAAUGCCGAUAGUUUAGCAAUGACUCGGAGCUCUGGACCACACAAGGAGAGCGAGGGGAACGCCGGCCUGCUUUGGGCAGCAGGAGAGGGAAGCACUGGGGAGUCCGGAGGGAGCUUCUCUCACGCUUUCCUUCGUUCUCCCUCAUCCUUCACCACAUACACAAAUACACUUUGUCCGUCACUCUCAAUCUUUGUGCUUCAUUUUUCAUUCACCCUUUGAAAACCAACGAGCUGUACUCGUGCCUCUGCUCUCCUGGGGUUGAGAUGAAACGCCAUGCAUCCCUGAAUACAGCCAUACCCACCCUGCUCAGCGUGUGUUAAUGUGUGGCUCUGUGUAAGUGCAUCUGAAGGUGUGUUUGUAGUGUUCUGUGGGAAGUUUAAAGCGCUGUUCGGGAGGCGACAAAGAGCACAACAAUUCAUCAAAGAACACAGACGCUGGCCUUUAAUUAGCUGAACUGUCAAUAUGCGCCUCGCCUGAUUUUGGUUCUCGUUACCGGAUGGCCGGUGCUUCACAGCCGCGUUUAAUCUUGGCAAAGACCUUUCUGUACACAUGGGGGAGCGUCCCAAACAAAUUUAUUUGCUACGUAAUCAGGUCAGCCAGUGAGUCAGCCAAAGUCUCCCAUUUCAUCAAAAACAGAGGAGGAUGCUGACGGGGAAUUCUCCGCCUACGCAGCUCUGAAGCUCUAAACGAGGUGAGAGAAAAGAGAGUAAAAUACAAAAGAUGUCAAUGACAGGAGACACAAGACUGACAGCUGUGUUUGCAGAGCGUGGUGUGGGAGGCUGGUGCCCUGCGGAUUCCCUCCAUCCAGAAAAUGUCUCCCAUGACCUGCCCUGAUGAUCGCUGCGACUCGAUAGCGUUCAUCUGGGAGCACCUUAUAAAUCAAGAAGAAGCUUAAUAUCAAAUGCUUUUUACUCACUGUCUGGAAUGACUUAACUCCCGGUUCAGGACGGUUGGUUUUGGGUUCCCAACAGACAGACCAAGUACAGUGUGUGUGUGUGUGUGUGUGUGUGUGUGUGUGUGUGUGUGUGUGUGUGUGUGUGUGUGUGUGUGUGUGUGUGUGUGUGUUGGCAAUGCAUUGAGUGUAUUGAUGGUGAAGGGGGCAAUCUGGGGGUUGAGCCACAGAUCCUGUUUUAAAUAUGAGAUGAAAACAACACAACACAGAAAACUCUCAAGGGUGUGAGUUAGUCAUGUUUGAAAGUGGGGUGCAUGGGGGAUUCCAGUGGCAUGUGUGUGUGUGUGUGUGUGUGUGUGUGUGUGUGUGUGUGUGUG